GCAGAAGUGCUGGAAUAGGCAGACAGGCAUGUUUGAGGGGCAUGUGCAAGCUUUUGCGUGAGGGUUCAAGUCCCUUCUUCUGCACCA
rnacentral:tRNA from 3 species